GCCUGCAUGGGGCGUGGCAUCGAAGUCCGCCCCGUUGUGACGCGUGGCUGAGGAGGCACGCAAUUCCAAUUCAGUCUGGUGUCACAGGAUCUUGCUCUCUCCACUGGGCCCAGCCCAGCGGUCCUGCCCUGAGGGAGGACAGUAAGCGCGGUGGCGGAGCUGAAGACUGGAGAAUGGCUCGAGGAAGUGAAUUUAUUGAUAUAAGGAUGACUGAUGGUAGUUACCGUCUGUACGAUGCUGUAUAUGCAGUGGCCCACACCCUCUACAAGAUGCUUCUAUAGCAAGCAGAAAUACAAUGAGUGGUAAAUGGAGAAGCGAUGAUAUUUUCCCAAUGGCAGGUACUGUCUCUUACACUUUUAUCAAGGUAUCAUACUUAAGGCCUUCCAUAAAAUUCAUUUCAUA
rnacentral:lncRNA from 1 species